UCAGUGUUUUGAGAAGUGCACCCUGACCCAUCGAAGGAUGGACUCCAUUAGACCUCUGAAGGUGUGCUGUGGUAUCUGGCACCAAGACGGGAGCAGCAGA